rnacentral:lncRNA from 1 species
GUAACCCUAUCAGCUUAGUACGAGCUAUACUAUCUAUUUAUUAGCUUAGAGUGAGUAGUCCUGGACUAUGGUCGGACUUAUAGAUAGUAUUGAAAGUGCCGAUCAAGCAUGGGUCGUGAUGUCAUGUAAUCGACUAGGUCGAUUGAUCGAUGAUUUGAUCUGAGUGUGAUUUGAUGUGAUUCAUUGCCUUAAUCUGUUGUGUGAAUUGAUUGAUUGAAUGGAAAUGACCGUGAGUGGUCUUGUUGGUGUGUAAUCGACUAGGUCGAUUUGAUCGAUGCUUCGAUCGGUGAUGUGAUUGUCUGGGUGCCUAUUUGAUCUGCGCUAAUAUGCAGGUGGAAUCUGAGGCCAAGAUAAGUCAUUUGACUUAUGUUGUGCAUAAGCAACCCUAAGGUAUAUUAGUUUACUAAUCGGGUCUUAGGGGGUAGAACUUGCUAAGACGUGGUCUCAAUGGUUAUUGAAUAACCAUUUCAGGACCUUGAUGAGAAGCCUGAGGAGGAGGAAUCUCAAGAGGAGAACCCUACUGUGACAUCCUGAUUUUUCAAAUCUGAUUUCAAUUGAAUAAAUCGGGCAUUUCAUCGACGCGUCUAUAGUGUUAUUCUCUGAGCCAAUCACUCAAGAGAUAACUAGACUAUCUGAGAAAAUUAUUAAGAGAUUUUAACGCAAAAGGCUUGAGAAUUCAACCAGAAAUCGACUGCUUGACCGUGCUAAUUUGUAAGGGUCAUUACGGCAUAAUUAAAAAUCGAUCAAAGAUCAGGGAUAGGUCGAUUCGACUGAGAUAGGUGAUCAAAAUGUGAGUGAUUCCACCUGAUUGCAAAAUUCUCAUCAAUCAGUAUUAAAUUGAUUUUUUUAUCGUUUUAGGUACCUUGUGUCCGUAUUUGAAACCUUGAGAUUUUCACGACAAUCAAGAGUCGCCAAUGUGUCGAAGGUGUAUAUUAUGACUCGAGAUAAAUCGAUCAUGGGUCAAUUGCACCAAAAAUUUCUAAAAGUUACUCGAUAGACUAGGUCACGCUAAAAGCGCGCCGGAUUGAAAAUAACCGCGAAUUUGAACCCGAUUUCAGAAAUUGAAAGUUCUGUGGUGUCACAAGCUAUUUGAGUAACGUCGAUUCAUUCUUCGAAGAAUUUUCAGAGAUUCCGAGGUUUUUACGGAAUAUCGAUUCGGAUGUCGUGGAAAAAUAACAUAAAUUCGGAUUAGCCGAAUUGAAGAGAUUUUCGACUUGCAAACCGAGCUAUAUGACGAAGGAGACUUGUAGAAAUAUUGUGGGCUUUUUCUACAUCAAAAUGAGACAUCAAUUGGGAAAAUUUGAUGAAGAAUUGGAAGCCCGUCAAUUGAAGAAAUUCGGAAUGUGGCUUGGGGCUACAUUUUUGGCAUAAAAAAUUGGAUUAUUUGAGAAAAUUAUAUACUAGAAAGUAAUAGGAGAGGACCAAGGGAUAAGCUUUGUGGCUUUUGGGGGACCAAGCAUUAAUGAUAGAUAUUUGUUUGUCCCCCCCCCCCCCCCCCCCCAUCGGCAGCUUCUCGUGCACGAUUCCUCUCCUUCAUCUCCUUCGCACGGACGCCACACCACGAAGCAGCUGCUCUUGUUUUCUUUCCAUCUAUUCCUUCGACUGAGAACCUCUGCCGCACGACUUCCUUCACGAUUGCAGCCACGCACGUCUCCACUAUCAUUUCAUCCUCAUCACCCAUCCAUCUCCACCACCACAUCAUCACCAUCUAUCAUCAUCCCAUCUCCCACCAUCACCCCACGUCCGUAGCUCAUGCCUCAAGUCAACCAUUGAAGUUUAGUUGACUGAAGAAGCCCCACAACUCACUGAAGUCCAGCCACGAAAUCAAGUUGCCUCUCCACGCGUCCAAGUCCACCAGCUGAGUUCUCUUCGUUGACUCCAUCUGCCAAUUGCCGAUUGAAGCAGCUCACGGCAGAAGCUGCCACCGUCCGUGACUCACCACCACCGAAGUCCCUUUGCUCGAUUUCUUCAGCCCAUUAACGCCGUGGACUUCAUCCGCUCGAAGACUCCACCGCCAGCUGCUUCCCUGCUCCAUCUUUCGUUUGUGUCUUCGCCAGCGUCACCUUCAGCUCGACGCCAGCAAAGCCAGCAGCCCACUCCCAAGAUCGGCCCAGCAAAUCCGCGUGUCUUCACGGCCCAUCUUCAAGCCAGCAAGUCCCGAAGACCUGCAGCUCCGUUUCUGCUUCAGUUGGCAGCGCUCAGUCCAGUGGAUUUCACGGCCCAGCAGUUGGGCCCGUCCAAGAAACCAGAGAAGCCCAUUUUGUUCAACCCAACAAAGCCCAAGUGAUUCAAGCUCAGGCCCAAUUUCAUUGCAAGCUUAAGGCCCACUUGAAUUCAAGCCCAACUCAGCCUUUCCAAGCCCGCGAAGCAACUCAAGCCCAGUCCAAUUUCAAAAGCAAAUCUCAGAUUUGGGCUGAGAUUUGUUUGGCUAAGUUUAGGCUCGGCCCAAGUUUGUCGACGCCGCCGAAAAUUUCGAUUUCGGCCGCCAUCAAGUCGUCGUAGCGGUGAACCGGUUUUCGCAAUUAACCAGUGAGUUUAUACUCUAAACUCUGCUUAGUAGGCUAAUGACAUUUAAGGGGUGUUUAGAUUUAUUUUAUUAGGAACUAGGUGGUUAGUUAGAUUAAAUUAGAAAUGUAAUUAUUUAAUUGAGCAUGUUAGGUGGUUAGCAUGGUUUAGCUAAGGCCUAAAUAAAUUGUACUAUUUAUCUAGAAGGGUUCGGGAAUUUCGCCGAGUCCGUAUUAGUUAUUAAUUUAAUGAUUUUGGCCUAAGUUAGUAUUUGUAGAAUUUAAAUUGAUUUAUUUAAUUAAUUUCAGUAAUUAUUUAUUUAUUAAUUAUUUUUCCGGAAUUUAGGCCGGGAUAGUCGGUGAUCGGAAUUUCGUGUUGAUUGCAAUGGUUGGUUAAUUUCUGCAAUUGAGUGUUAAAUUAUGCAAAUUGAAUGCUGAUUGGAUUUUUGGUAUUUAAUUCCAAAAAUUGUGAAUUUCCAAUAUUUAUUCAGAAAAUCCUGGGUGUCGAGUUUGGACACCGAAAUUGGUUUUUAAUACUACAUGAAAUAGUGGGAUUUCAAAAAGGAAGAAUAUCAAUUUUUUUGAGGUCAAAUUGACUAUGUACCCACAUACGAGUAAUUUCAUGUGAAUUUCUAAUACGAAGAAAAAUGUCAGGUUUACCAUUUUAAUUGAAGCAUUUAAGUGUAAUGCACGGUGCCCUGGACCAUAUUUGAGUGAUCAUGUGAUGGUUAAGAGAAAUCGUCCCGGGCUGUUGAGCUGGACGUUAUCCCUAUUCGAGAUACCCACUGGACAACGGGAAGCCGGUCGUAGUAGAUUCUGGAUCCUAUGCUCCUUCGGGAAAGCCGUCUGCUAAAGAGACGUGCCGUGUUCAAUGGGGUGAGACGAUGCUUGGUAAUGCCAGAAGACCGCCGAACAUAGAGUAGGCCGUGCUAUAUGCCGAGAUCAAAACUAGGAACGCAUGAUUAAUUGAGUGUAGCGUUUCAGUUGUUGGAGCUUAUUGCUCAUGUUUUCAUGCUGUCUGAGUUAUAAAUUGUACUGACCUGCAGGGUGGAUCUGAGACGAGGUAAGUCUCAUUGAUUGUGUGACUGUGUGAUUAGGACACUUCUGGGCAUAUUUCCCUCCUAAUUGGGGUUUAGAGCUUAGACUCGCUGAGAUGAUAUCUCACCCCGUUGUGGGACAACAUUUUCAGGGUCGUCGAGCGGAGGACCUGGAGCUAUGAGGAGGUGAUCAAAAGCGUAGGUUAGUUAGGACAGCUUAUUUUUGGAAGGCUAGUCUUUUGUAGUCUUGUGGCCAUAGAAUUUUGUACAUGACUCAGUAUAUAUAUAAAAGCAUGUUUGUUUGUGCAUUUAUUGUCCUACUUUUCUAUCCCGAGAUGAUUACUGUCAGGAGAUUUCUUUUCGCUUCCGCAUGUGCAAUAAAAUGGAAAGAGUCCUGGGAAGUCGCAAAUUAUUAUCGACCAGAUAGGGAUGGGCACGCGCUCGAGGUUCGGGACGUGACACCUAAUGUGGAACCAGAUGAGGAGGAAGAUUUUGGAGAAGAAGAUGACCAUGAGGAGAAUUUUGAGUAUGAUCCGGAUGAGGACUGAGAUCCCAUCCAGUUUUGUCAGACCUUGAUUAUAUGUGGAUAAGUGUUAGAUCAGACUCCUGAGAAUAGUAUUGCAUUAUAUACUAUGAGGUACAUGUAAAAAGAUGUGGUUGAGAAUUUUCAGUAUGAAAAAUAUGGCCUGCU